rnacentral:lncRNA from 1 species
AAGAAGUGAGAACUACUUAUGAAACAAUAGUUUAGCAUUAUGCUUUAAGCUAAUGUCUAUAGAUAUAAUCUGUUCCUCCAUAAAAUCUGUGUUAGUCUUAACAAAUAAUAGUGAUAAUGUUUUAAAAACCCUAACAAAGUUUCUCUGAGGUAGUUUACUUGAAGAGUAUGGUAAUAGAACUCAUUGACCAUCACUUACUCUGCUGUUCCAGUUUGUGCAUAAUCUCUGGUCUUUCUUUCAGAUUCUUGGCCUUCCUUCCCAGUUGUCAAUUUUGACAAAUCACAUUUGGUUCAUUAAGCUAAGAUCUUAAGACCACGUAAAUACUAAUAUAAUUAACUGAUUUGGCCAGGCUCGGUGGCUCACGUCUGUAAUCCCAGCACUUUGGGAGGCCGAGGCAGGUGGAUCACCUGAGGUCAGGAGUUCGAGACCAGCCUGGCCAAUAUGGUGAAACCAUGUCUCUACUAAAAUUACAAAACAAAACAAAACAAAACAAAAAUUAGCUGAGUGUGGCGGCAGGCACCUGGAGUCCCAGCUACUCGGGAGGCUAAGGCAGGGAAUCACUUGAACCCAGCAGGCAGAAGUUGCAGUGAGCCGAGAUCACAUCACUUCAUAGCAAGACUCCAUCUCAAAAUUUAAAAAAAAUUAACUGAUUUCUCCCCCUUGGUGCUCUUGCAGCAGAUAACACAAAGUUUAAUUUUGCUAAAUAACUAAAGAAAUAGUGUUCUUUAUCCAAAGCUGGAGUCUGAGCUGGGAACCUUGCUGGAACACUCUGCAGACAUUGAGCAACGCUCGUCCAUGGGCCCUUUGGCUCUAGGAUCGGCUGAGGGCACCAUGCUGAACCCCUCUGGGAGAGUAGUGCCUUGUGUGUGUCAGUCGAGGCCUAGGCUGGGACUGACUUCUUUUCCACGCCUACAUCACAAUUGGCAUUAUGUAAAAUGAUUAUGAGUUCUGUCUCCUCGUGAGCCUCAGGCCUGGCUGAGGCCAGAAGUGUGGAGCGCCAGCGUGACAGCUGCUCCCUCAAACCUGUCGUCCGCCUUUCACCUCUGUGCUUACUCAUUACGAAUUUCUUUUUAUCUGAAAGUAAUUCCGCAUAUAUUUUUAAGUUUUAGAAUAAUUUAAAGCAUGAAAAGAAAGUUGUAACAACCAACACUAAACCCCAAGAUCACACACACACUCCUAAUUUUUCUGGUUGGAAUGUCCUGAAAUAAAUUCCUAUAGUGAGUCGAUUUACUGUCCUUAGCCAAGUUUAUGCCAGUGCCUAGCCAGAAACCCAAGACCUCCCUGAGACAGCACAGCCCGUGAGAAGCCCUGGAUGAGAAGCUGGGGGCUUCGGGAGAUGCGUUCGACCCCGCGCAAGCUCAAUGCACAAUGUUAGGAAAUGGGUCUCUGCCGUGAAUGGAUUCUUCAAGUGCACUGCACAAUGCACUGGAAAAAAGAGAAAUUCUCAUAAAAGCCAUGAGCAUCAAAAUGAGAUCAGGCUUCUCAACAGCCAUGGUGGGCAGGAGAGAAGAAGAGCAAUACCUCCCAUUUCAGAUGGAAAAUUACUUUUCACCUAGAAUUUUCUAUCCAACAAAUAUAAGUCAAAUAUGAGAAUACAAGAAAGAUAUUUUCAGAAAUGAAAAGUAAAAAAAAAAAAAAUGUAGUCUUCACGCACACUUUCUCAGACAAUUACUGAAAGUUCUGUUCCAUCAAAGCAAGAGAGUAUGUGAAGGGGAAAAAAUGGGAUCCAGGAAUGAAGGGAUCCAACUCCAGAGACCAAGAAAGGAGCUAUGCAGACAGCAGGGAAAGGAAGUCCCAGGAGAGCAGCUGCCCUGCAGCCUGAAGACGACUGGAGGUGGUAGAGGAGAGGACAGGGCACCCACGACCAACUGCACUAUGAUGCAUUUCACAGAACGCUUGAGGGUAUGGGCCACUUAAACAGAACCCAAGAAUCCAAGACAAAUUCUAAAAUGAGGAAUUUAUCAAUUCCUAGAAAAAAAUGGUAAAAAGAAAGGAAAUGUAAUAACAACACACAAAAUGAUUCAGCAGCCAAUAUUCAACCUACUUACAAGAAUCAAAACACUGAAUAUGAAUGUAACCGGAAGAGGCCAGCUACCUACACCAGGAGGGUGGAGGAGAGCAAGGACGGGUGGCAGACAAGGCUGCUCAUCUGUCCUAAAAGGAAACUAGCAGGUAAUCGCUAAAAAGAAUGAACGAAGACAGAGGACUAUGUGCCUACCAUUUUGCUACGUAGAGGUAAAUAACAAGAAACAGCUUAAAAAAUGGUUACUGUUGAGGACUGAUGCUUUUCUUAAGGAACUUAUUAAACCUUGGGCACAGGCAAUGUCAAUAAACUAAAAAUUCAUUUAAAAAACCAACACAUAACAUAUAGCUUAGAGACAUGCAAGUCCAUGGUUAAGCCUCGUUCUCAGCCUAAAACAGUAGCUCUCAUCACUUGCUAUGCAUAGAAUCACCCUAGAGCUCUCAGAAAGGAUUGAUUGCUGCUGCUUCUCAUCUAGUAGGUAGUCCAGGCAGGGCCCAGGCAUCUGGCGAUUUCUAAUGUGACUCCAAGGGCGAGAACCACUGCUUAGGUGGUUUACAGAAGAGGCCCAGUAGUUCUGUGGAUUCCUGAAGUCUGUGUGCAAAAUUGCAAAUGUGAGUGUAUUUUUCUGGAGCCUUGGAAGGUCCAUGCUUUCAUCACAAUUUCAAAGGAGUUACGGCCUUUUCUCUCACCCAUCCUGGGCACUAAAGAGUAAGACUCACCACCUAACACAGGUAGAGCUGCCUUAAGGGAAAAACGCAGCUUACAUUUCAUCAAUUUAACUUCUCUUUGAAACAUGCUUCAGGGACAUGCAAGCUUAUCAGAUGGGGUAGCACUGGCUCCCAUGGCUCUUGGGCCUCAUUUCUGCCUGCAGAGUGAUAAUCUACCCUCAGAAAACAACUAUGAUUCUUUGUCCCCAUGAGGCUGCUGGCGAGAGCUCCUGUCUGGCCUCUGUGCAGCAGCCCAGCAAGGGGCCGUGCCCCGUGGGAUAUGCCAGUGCAUUCUCCAGCACAGGGCUACAUACUCGCAAAGCCUAAAUUUUCACUAGGAGUCAUACAACAAAACCCUUCCAAAAGCCAUCUGCGUGGUGGCCCUUCCCUGAGCUGCUGGGCAGAGGCCGGACAAGAGCCUUCACCACAGUGCCCUUGGAAGACCCAGCAGCCACAAGCAGCAGCUUGAAUGGGACGCAGCCUUUUCCCCAGCCUAUGGGUCAUCAUACAACCUCUCACUUUGUUUGAAUUUGCAAAAAAGCGAAGUAAGCAUUUAAGCUCUUUAUUUGAUGGAUUCCGCCCCUCCUCCCAGUUGAUUUUAAUAAUUUGAAUUGGGGGAAAAAUCAUGGAAGGAAUAAGAAUGUAUCAGGAACCCCUCCAUUGACAGCAUCAUGCCAUUGUCUCAUUCUUCCAACCACGCUACAAGGUAGCAAGAAAAGCCAUACUAGUGUUAAGGUUGGAAAUCAAGGCCAAGAGAGCUACCUCUGGGUCACUAGCUUAGAGGAAGAGACAGAACCUGAACACUCUCCUUGGCAUGGGGCAGAAGCUCUGUUACUUUCUCACACCUCCAGAUCUUUGGCCUUAUGUCCAUCAGCGCCCCCAGCCAAAACCCACAUGGAUCUGAGAGAUGGCUUUGCAGUUUGCUCUUCAUAUCAGAAAGAAGCAUCCAGUUACACUAUAAUUUUGUUCCUUUCACAGUCAUGUCGGAAAUGUGUCUUUCAUCACAGUUUUUCCUAUUGUUCCCUGUGUUCUGGCUUUAAGACCAAUGCUACAGACAGAAAUGUUCAAAAGAGGCUUCAUCAGGAAGCACCUGAGGACAGAAUGUGAAAUGACUUAUUUUGUCCUCUCCUACCCAAGGAGACUGCUGAAUUUAGGAGGAAAAUCUCUUAGGAAUUGUGUAAUUAAAAAUAUAUAGAUGAUUACUCUGUCAGACCAUGAGAAGAUAAUUCACUGUUAAUAAAGAAUGCAGGGCCAGGUGUGGUGGCUCACCGCUGCACUCAAGCCUGGGUGACAGAGCAAGACCAUGUCUCAAAAAAAAAAAAAAAAAGUAGAAGAAAAUGGUAUGCUGUUUCCUUGGGAGGAAAAUGAAGUGGAGAGUUUUCUGACAUUCAGUUAGUUCACAAACAUUCAUGGAGAAUGUUCUGGGUCCAGGGUGCAGAGACGCAUGGCCUAGCUCUGUCGUUGGGUCAGUCUCCAACCUUGGGGGAGGAUGACAUGCAAAUCAACAACGUGACAAGUGGGUGCAGAGAAGCCACAGUACAGGGGAGGUGAGAUAAAGGCACAGUCAGUCCUGCUGAGAAGGUCAAAGGAAGCUUCCCAGAUGCUGUGAUACUUGGGCUGGGCCUUGAAGGACACACAGGAAUUUUCCAGUAGACAGAUGUUUAUAAUCCAGUACAAAGAAGACAGUCAAUUACUCAGGGAGUUAAGCAAAUCCAUACGCGUGCUCCCGGCCUCUUCUUCGUGCCAUGCGUUGUAGCCAGCAGUGGCAAGACAGCAGUAAACAUCUCUGACCUACAAAAAUGGUAAUGUCACAUGGUUCAGUCUAACACAUUCUACCAAUGUGCAGCAUCAAGCCUCUCAAACACUUCAGAAAUAUGUUCUGGAUGAUUAA